rnacentral:rRNA from 1 species
UACGUAGGGGGCCAGCGUUGCUCGGAAUUACUGGGCGUAAGGGGUCCGUAGGCGGUGUGGCAAGUCGGGAGUGAAAUCUCUGGGCUUAACUCAGAGGCUGCUUCCGAAACUGCCGUGCUAGAGUGUGAGAGAGGCGAGUGGAAUUGCGGGUGUAGCGGUGAAAUGCGUAGAUAUCCGCAGGAACAUCCGAGGCGAAAGCGGCUCGCUGGAUCACAACUGACGCUGAGGGACGAAAGCUAGGGGAGCAAACAGG